GGCUCCUCCUGUAGAAAUUUUUGUUCUGUUUUCCACACCCACACAAUAGAGAUCAUACUGGUUUUGUCAGCUGCUGGCCCAGUACUCCCAUCUGGCCCAGUACUGCCCAGCUUGCCCCUGUUUGGUUGACAAAUUAGGCAAUUUCUUUCCUUCUCCCAGCAAAGCUUCAGUGGCUGCCACCACACAGCCAAGCUGGCCACAAAAGCGUGAGAAGCACCUCCCUGGAGCCCAUCUCCCACACCAGUUACUCCCUGUGAUGUGGGAUAUUGGGGAUCCCAGUCCUGGGUUCACUCUGGGUCUGUGAUUUUGUACAAGUCACUUAUCCUCCCUCCAAUGGGGAGAUACAGCCUCUCCUCAUAAAGCAGUUCAUUAUCCUCACUUAUUUUGCACUACUCGUUUUCCCCCUGUGAUGGACUCUUUGGACACAGGUACACAGCCAAGCCCAAGGCCAGAAAAUUGCCAUUAUUUCCCAGAUCAGUAUCCCUGCAGGCUGGCACCCAACCUGACAGACACGUUCCUGACCUACAGCAAUGACAACAUCCGCAUGAGUGGGCUGUCAGUUUAAAGAAAGAUUUGCAAAUCUUUACAGGUUUCCAACACCCUGCUGACCUCAAAGUGCUCCUUUCUUCUCCUCAGACCUGUGACUAACACAGGUUUACCCACAAAGUGCCAUUCUCCAGGUGAAAUAAGAUCCGGAUGAGAAGCAGUUGGCUCCAAAUCAACUGAGAGAAGAGCGACAGCCUUUGGUGAGCAGCUGGGACCAUGGCAAAAUAAUGGAAAAAACCCAGUUACCUCACCCUGUGCUCACAGCAUCUCUGCUGUUCAAGAAGAUGGAUGGUCUCGGGGUCAUAGAAGCCUCAUCUGCUAUGAAUUCUGCAAGUUGCUACCAGCACCUAAACACCAGAGCUGGAGAUGCAGCACUGAGUGGCACCAACAUUCCUGCAGCAGCUGGGAGAUGCCUUCUCCAAGACUACCAGGCAGUGACAAACCACCCAAAAUCCAAGUCACAGCUGGCAAGAGCCCCUUUCAGAGUACCAAAGUGCAUGUCUCUGGCUGCCAUCCUCAGGAACAUGGCAGUAGUCUCCAACUAUAAUCCAGUCUGCCCAACCUUCCCUGCUCCCAAGAGCAACAGCCCAGUCUAGUUCCAAGAGCUGUGUGGAGAUAACAAGAACCAAAGGGGCAGCAGGUGGUUCCAGCUGACUUCAUCACAUCUUUCCCCAAAAUAAUCUGCUGGACAGCUGUGAGGAGGAGAAUCUCAUCUGGCUGCAAAUCAGCAUAAGCAGGGGAGAUGGGAUGUGGAGUCAGGCACAGAGGCUGUCGUGGAUUAUUUAUGGCUCUCAGUGGAUGGACAACUUUCCUAAGUCAAUAACCCUGCAGCCAGAGCUUUUUUUGCUACUUCAAGAGCAACAAAGCACAUCUGGUUUUGCUUCCCAGGCUGGUAAGUACUGAAUUGCCAGG
rnacentral:lncRNA from 1 species